GGUUAAGCGACUAAGCGUACACGGUGGAUGCCCUGGCAGUCAGAGGCGAUGAAGGACGUGCUAAUCUGCGAAAAGCGUCGGUAAGGUGAUAUGAACCGUUAUAACCGGCGAUGUCCGAAUGGGGAAACCCAGUGCAAUUCGUUGCACUAUCGUUAACUGAAUACAUAGGUUAACGAGGCGAACCGGGGGAACUGAAACAUCUAAGUACCCCGAGGAAAAGAAAUCAACCGAGAUUCCCCCAGUAGCGGCGAGCGAACGGGGAGCAGCCCAGAGUCUGAAUCAGCUUGUGUGUUAGUGGAACGGUCUGGAAAGUCCGACGGUACAGGGUGAUAGUCCCGUACACCAAAAUGCACAGGCUGUGAACUCGAAGAGUAGGGCGGGACACGUGGUAUCCUGUCUGAAUAUGGGGGGACCAUCCUCCAAGGCUAAAUACUCCUGACUGACCGAUAGUGAACCAGUACCGUGAGGGAAAGGCGAAAAGAACCCCGGCGAGGGGAGUGAAAAAGAACCUGAAACCGUGUACGUACAAGCAGUGGGAGCACCUUCGGGUGUGACUGCGUACCUUUUGUAUAAUGGGUCAGCGACUUAUAUUCUGUAGCAAGGUUAACCGUAUAGGGGAGCCGCAGGGAAACCGAGUCUUAACUGGGCGUUAAGUUGCAGGGUAUAGACCCGAAACCCGGUGAUCUAGCCAUGGGCAGGUUGAAGGUUGGGUAACACUAACUGGAGGACCGAACCGACUAAUGUUGAAAAAUUAGCGGAUGACUUGUGGCUGGGGGUGAAAGGCCAAUCAAACCGGGAGAUAGCUGGUUCUCCCCGAAAGCUAUUUAGGUAGCGCCUCGUGAACUCAUCUUCGGGGGUAGAGCACUGUUUCGGCUAGGGGGUCAUCCCGACUUACCAACCCGAUGCAAACUACGAAUACCGAAGAAUGUUAUCACGGGAGACACACGGCGGGUGCUAACGUCCGUCGUGAAGAGGGAAACAACCCAGACCGCCAGCUAAGGUCCCAAAGUCAUGGUUAAGUGGGAAACGAUGUGGGAAGGCACAGACAGCCAGGAUGUUGGCUUAGAAGCAGCCAUCAUUUAAAGAAAGCGUAAUAGCUCACUGGUCGAGUCGGCCUGCGCGGAAGAUGUAACGGGGCUAAACCAUGCACCGAAGCUGCGGCAGCGACACUAUGUGUUGUUGGGUAGGGGAGCGUUCUGUAAGCCUGCGAAGGUGUGCUGUGAGGCAUGCUGGAGGUAUCAGAAGUGCGAAUGCUGACAUAAGUAACGAUAAAGCGGGUGAAAAGCCCGCUCGCCGGAAGACCAAGGGUUCCUGUCCAACGUUAAUCGGGGCAGGGUGAGUCGACCCCUAAGGCGAGGCCGAAAGGCGUAGUCGAUGGGAAACAGGUUAAUAUUCCUGUACUUGGUGUUACUGCGAAGGGGGGACGGAGAAGGCUAUGUUAGCCGGGCGACGGUUGUCCCGGUUUAAGCAUGUAGGCUGAUUGUCCAGGCAAAUCCGGAUAAUCAAGGCUGAGGUGUGAUGACGAGGCACUACGGUGCUGAAGUAACAAAUGCCCUGCUUCCAGGAAAAGCCUCUAAGCAUCAGGUAACAUCAAAUCGUACCCCAAACCGACACAGGUGGUCAGGUAGAGAAUACCAAGGCGCUUGAGAGAACUCGGGUGAAGGAACUAGGCAAAAUGGUGCCGUAACUUCGGGAGAAGGCACGCUGGUGUGUAGGUGAAGUCCCUGCGGAUGGAGCUGAGACCAGUCGAAGAUACCAGCUGGCUGCAACUGUUUAUUAAAAACACAGCACUGUGCAAACACGAAAGUGGACGUAUACGGUGUGACGCCUGCCCGGUGCCGGAAGGUUAAUUGAUGGGGUUAUCCGUAAGGAGAAGCUCUUGAUCGAAGCCCCGGUAAACGGCGGCCGUAACUAUAACGGUCCUAAGGUAGCGAAAUUCCUUGUCGGGUAAGUUCCGACCUGCACGAAUGGCGUAAUGAUGGCCAGGCUGUCUCCACCCGAGACUCAGUGAAAUUGAACUCGCUGUGAAGAUGCAGUGUACCCGCGGCAAGACGGAAAGACCCCGUGAACCUUUACUAUAGCUUGACACUGAACAUUGAGCCUUGAUGUGUAGGAUAGGUGGGAGGCUUUGAAGCGUGGACGCCAGUCUGCGUGGAGCCAACCUUGAAAUACCACCCUUUAAUGUUUGAUGUUCUAACGUUGGCCCCUGACCGGGGUUGCGGACAGUGUCUGGUGGGUAGUUUGACUGGGGCGGUCUCCUCCCAAAGCGUAACGGAGGAGCACGAAGGUUAGCUAAUCCUGGUCGGACAUCAGGAGGUUAGUGCAAUGGCAUAAGCUAGCUUGACUGCGAGCGUGACGGCGCGAGCAGGUGCGAAAGCAGGUCAUAGUGAUCCGGUGGUUCUGAAUGGAAGGGCCAUCGCUCAACGGAUAAAAGGUACUCCGGGGAUAACAGGCUGAUACCGCCCAAGAGUUCAUAUCGACGGCGGUGUUUGGCACCUCGAUGUCGGCUCAUCACAUCCUGGGGCUGAAGUAGGUCCCAAGGGUAUGGCUGUUCGCCAUUUAAAGUGGUACGCGAGCUGGGUUUAGAACGUCGUGAGACAGUUCGGUCCCUAUCUGCCGUGGGCGCUGGAGAAUUGAGGGGGGCUGCUCCUAGUACGAGAGGACCGGAGUGGACGCAUCACUGGUGUUCGGGUUGUCAUGCCAAUGGCACUGCCCGGUAGCUAAAUGCGGAAGAGAUAAGUGCUGAAAGCAUCUAAGCACGAAACUUGCCCCGAGAUGAGUUCUCCCUGAGACUUUAAGUCUCCUGAAGGAACGUUGAAGACGACGACGUUGAUAGGCCGGGUGUGUAAGCGCAGCGAUGCGUUGAGCUAACCGGUACUAAUGAACCGUGAGGCUUAACCUU
rnacentral:rRNA from 2 species